AUCUCUAAUCUAGGGGAAGCUGGCGGCGCUCUCUCUACCUGAGAGGCUGAGAAGCGCAUGUGCUUGGGCUCCAGUGCCCCUGCUAGAAACCAGCAGGGAAUGCCGUGGAGAGCUCUCAAAGGACAGGAGGAGACGUGCAGUUUAGAGACUGUUUUUCCCUGACUGUAAAAUAGGGACAAAGUGAGGGAGGACCCGACAGCAGCUCUCUGAGCUUGAUAUCCUGCAGCUCUUGGGUGGCAGGCCUUGGAGCAGUGAGGUGCAGUCCCUUACCAUGACUCGCUGUGCUUCUCGGUGAAGACCCGAAGUAGGAAGUCGGCAUCUCUGUGUGGCUCAAAGGUGGAGGGAAUAAUUAUAUAUUCCCCCGGAGGCAGCCGGAGUUGGCUGCUCACCUCCCGUGAGUUGGCGAAGAUCUCUGAGAAGCCAUGGUCCUGAUACUUCACGAAGAAUUCCUUCUUCAAGUGGACAUCCUGGAUGUUCUGAAACUAUAUGCACCCUGGAGAUAACUUGCUUUGGAAGAGCAAGCUACCACUUUUUGUGAACACUCAAGCAGCCCUAUGGAGAAGCCUAUAUAUCGAGGAACUGGGGCCUCCUGCCAACAGCCAGCAAGGACCUGAGAGCUCCUGCCAUUAACCUAGCCCCUUACCCGGCUGAGGUCUACCCGCUUUAGGGACAGAUGACCCACCACCCCCGCCUCGUGCAGACUCCACCAGCCUGGCUAUCCUCACUGUAUCAUGGUCAUCCCAUCAGGCUGUGAAAGGAGGAAGUGGACUUUGGGGAUCCUGUGGUCUCCCCUGCCAACUCCUGAUUCCACUAUUGCACCUCCUGGAUGCCUCUAAUGUGAUCUACCUGGACUUGAA